GUAGUAACACAGGGAGGAAGCAGGGAGAGGUGGACUGGUAGUAACACAGGGAGGAAGCAGGGAGAGGUGGACUGGUAGUAACACAGGGAGGAAGCAGAGAGAGGUGGACUGGUAGUAACACAGGGAGGAAGCAGGGAGAGGUGGACUGGUAGUAACACAGGGAGGAAGCAGGGAGAGGUGGACUGGUAGUAACACAGGGAGGAAGCAGGGAGAGGUGGACUGGUAGUAACACAGGGAGGAAGCAGGGAGAGUUGGACUGGUAGUAACACAGGGAGGAAGCAGGGAGAGGUGGACUGGUAGUAACACAGGGAGGAAGCAGAGAGAGGUGGACUGGUAGUAACACAGGGAGGAAGCAGGGAGAGGUGGACUGGUAGUAACACAGGGAGGAAGCAGA